UGGGAAUUUUGGACAAUGGGCGAAAGCCUGAUCCAGCAAUGCCGCGUGUGUGAAGAAGGCCUUCGGGUUGUAAAGCACUUUUGUCCGGAAAGAAAUCCUUGGCUCUAAUACAGUCGGGGGAUGACGGUACCGGAAGAAUAAGCACCGGCUAACUACGUGCCAGCAGCCGCGGUAAUACGUAGGGUGCAAGCGUUAAUCGGAAUUACUGGGCGUAAAGCGUGCGCAGGCGGUUUGCUAAGACCGAUGUGAAAUCCCCGGGCUCAACCUGGGAACUGCAUUGGUGACUGGCAGGCUAGAGUAUGGCAGAGGGGGGUAGAAUUCCACGUGUAGCAGUGAAAUGCGUAGAGAUGUGGAGGAAUACCGAUGGCGAAGGCAGCCCCCUGGGCCAAUACUGACGCUCAUGCACGAAAGCGUGGGGAGCAAACAGGAUUAGAUACCCUGGUAGUCCACGCCCUAAANGAUGUCAACUAGUUGUUGGGGAUUCAUUUCCUUAGUAACGUAGCUAACGCGUGAAGUUGACCGCCUGGGGAGUACGGUCGCAAGAUUAAAACUUAAAUGAAUUGACGGGGUCAUAGCUGUUUCCU
rnacentral:rRNA from 1 species